GACAGAGGUGGCGAGCGUUGUUCGGAUUUAUUGGGCGUAAAGCGUACGCAGGCGGUUUGGUAAGUCAGGGGUGAAAGACCACAGCUUAACUGUGGCACUGCCUUUGAUACUGCCUUUCUUGAGUAGAGUAGGGGGAAGCGGAAUUCCGAGUGUAGAGGUGAAAUUCGUAGAUAUUCGGAGGAACACCGGUGGCGAAGGCGGCUUCCUGGACUCUAACUGACGCUCAUGUACGAAAGCGUGGGGAGCAAACAGG
rnacentral:rRNA from 1 species